rnacentral:lncRNA from 1 species
GGUCCAUACUGGUCCAUACCAAUCCAUACUGGCCCAUACUGGUCCAUAUUGGUCCGUACUGGCCCAUACUGGUCCAUACUGGCCCAUUCUGGCCCAUACUGGUGCCAUACUGGUCCAUACUGGCGCAUACUGGUCCAUACUGAUCCAUACCGGCCCAUAUUGGUCCAUACUGGUCCAUACUGGUCCUUACUGGUCCAUACUGGUCCAUACUGGCCCAUACUGGUCCAACCCGAUCCAUACUGCUCCAUACUGGCCCAUACUGCUUCUUACUAGUCCAUACUGGUCGAUACGGGUCCAUACUGGUCCAUACUGGUCCAUACUGGUCCUUACUGUUCCAUACUGGUCCAUACCAAUCCAUACCGGUCCAUACUGGCCCAUACUGGUCCAUACUGGUCCAUACUGGUCCACACCGGCCCAUACUGGCCCAUUCUGGCCCAUACUGGCCCAUACUGGUCCAUACUGGUCCAUACUGGCCCAUACUGGCCCAUACUGGUCCAUACAGGUCCAUACUGGUUCAUACCGGUCCAUACUGGCCCAUACUGGUCCAUACUGGUCUGUACUGGUCCAUACCAGUCCAUACUGGUCCAUACUGGUUCUUAUUGCUCCAUACUGGUCCAUACCAGUCCAUACUGGCCCAUACUGGUCCAUAGUGUUCCAUACUGGUCCAUACCAGUCCAUACUGGUCCAUACUGGUUCUUAUUGCUCCUUACUGGUCCAUACCAGUCCAUAUUGGCCCAUACUGGUCCAUACUGGCCCAUACUGGCCCAUACUGGCCCAUACUGGUCCGUACUGGUCCUUACUGGUCCAUACUGGCCCAUACUGGUCCAUACUGGUCCGUACUGGUCCUUACUGGUCCAUAUUGGUCCAUACUGGCCCAUACUGGUCCGUACUGGUCCGUACUGGUCCUUACUGGUCCAUACUGGUGCAGUCGCUCCGCCGCAGCUCCCGCAGCUCCAUCAGCGGAUAUUUCCUGGCCGGGAGGAGAAUGGGAUGGGCGGCCGUGAGUGCGGGGUCCUGUGGGGUCCUAUGGGGUUUUACGGGGUCUUAUGGGGUUUUAUGGGGUCUUAUGGGGUCUUAUGGGGUCU